rfam:Picea glauca, whole genome shotgun sequence.
GUAACGGUGUCUUUAGACACCACCUAUUCUUGGAAUUAAUAACUCU